UACGUAGGGCGCAAGCGUUGUCCGGAAUUAUUGGGCGUAAAGAGCUCGUAGGUGGCUUGUCACGUCGGGUGUGAAAGCUUGGGGCUUAACUCCAGGUCUGCAUUCGAUACGGGCUGACUAGAGGUAGGUAGGGGAGAACGGAAUUCCUGGUGUAGCGGUGAAAUGCGCAGAUAUCAGGAGGAACACCGGUGGCGAAGGCGGUUCUCUGGGCCUUACCUGACGCUGAGGAGCGAAAGCGUGGGGAGCGAACAGG
rnacentral:rRNA from 1 species